GGGCCUAUAGCUCAACGGUUAGAGCAGGGGACUCAUAAUCCCUUGGUUGUAGGUUCGAAUCCUACUGGGCCCACCA
rnacentral:tRNA from 2 species